AGAGUUUGAUCCUGGCUCAGAACGAACGCUGGCGGCAGGCCUAACACAUGCAAGUCGAGCGCGCCUUUCGGGGUGAGCGGCGGACGGGUUAGUAACGCGUGGGAAUAUGCCCAAAGGUACGGAAUAGCCUCUGGAAACGGAGAGUAAUACCGUAUGUGCCCUUCGGGGGAAAGAUUUAUCGCCUUUGGAUUAGCCCGCGUUAGAUUAGGUAGUUGGUGGGGUAAUGGCCUACCAAGCCUACGAUCUAUAGCUGGUUUUAGAGGAUGAUCAGCAACACUGGGACUGAGACACGGCCCAGACUCCUACGGGAGGCAGCAGUGGGGAAUCUUGGACAAUGGGGGCAACCCUGAUCCAGCCAUGCCGCGUGAGUGAUGAAGGCCCUGGGGUCGUAAAGCUCUUUCGCCUGUGAAGAUAAUGACGGUAGCAGGUAAAGAAACCCCGGCUAACUCCGUGCCAGCAGCCGCGGUAAUACGGAGGGGGUUAGCGUUGUUCGGAAUUACUGGGCGUAAAGCGCACGUAGGCGGAUCGGAAAGUUGGGGGUGAAAUCCCGGGGCUCAACCCCGGAACUGCCUCCAAAACUAUCGGUCUAG
rnacentral:rRNA from 1 species